rnacentral:rRNA from 1 species
UGAGCAACCUACCGAAAUGUGGGGAUAGCCGGCCUAACGGCCGAGUAAUACCGCAUACACUCUCGAUGAGGCAUUUCAUUGAGAGGAAACCUACGGGACAUUUCGAGGGCUCGCGGCCUAUCAGCUAGUUGGCGAGGUAACGGCUCACCAAGGCAACGACGGGUAGCUGGUCUGAGAGGAUGGCCAGCCACAUUGGGACUGAGAUACGGCCCAGACUCCGUACGGGAGCAG